rnacentral:rRNA from 1 species
GGUUGCGGGAGAGGAGGUAGGGUGACUGCCAGGGCGCCUUCCUUGCCGCCACCCCCAGUUGUUUCACCCGAGCACGUGACUGCUAGGGUGGACUCGUCCGAGGAGGAGGCAACACGGACUCCGGUCCACGAGCCUUCGGCCCACGAGCCUCGGGUUGACGGGCCUUCGGGCCACGAGAGUUUGGCCCACGAGACCCCGGAGGAACACACGUCUGGAUGGGGUACCUGGCCGGAUCAUCCUGAGGGGCCGAGUGGCCAUGCUGAUGAUGGCGGGGACAGGACUGAUUUUGAGGAGGAG